rnacentral:rRNA from 1 species
CGCCCUUAGAGUUUGAUCAUGGCUCAGAUUGAACGCUGGCGGCAGGCUUAACACAUGCAAGUCGAACGGUAUAGGUGCUUGCACCUGACGAGUGGCGGACGGGUGAGUAAUGUAUGGGGAUCUGCCGAAUGGAUUGGGACAACCACUGGAAACGGUGGCUAAUACCGAAUAAUGUUGAGAGACCAAAGUGUUUCGACAUGCCAUUUGAUGAACCCAUAUGGGAUUAGCUAGU